UACCAGCACCCCGAGUGGUCGGGACGAUUAUUGGGCCUAAAGCAUCCGUAGCCGGUCCUGCAAGUCUUCCGUUAAAUCCACCUGCUUAACAGAUGGGCUGCGGAGGAUACUACAAGGCUAGGAGGCGGAAGAGGCAAGCGGUACUCAGUGGGUAGGGGUAAAAUCCGUUGAUCCAUUGAAGACCACCAGUGGCGAAGGCGGCUUGCCAGAAUGCGCUCGACGGUGAGGGAUGAAAGCUGGGGGAGCAAACCGG
rnacentral:rRNA from 1 species